rnacentral:tRNA from 1 species
AGGGAUGUAGCUCAGUGGUACAGUGCCUGCCUGCCAACCACAGGGUCCUGAGUUCAAUUCCCAGCACCACCA